UAUGCUUGGCUCCAAUGAAUCAGAUUCCUCCUCCAAUAGCUUGUCUCCAAAAGCCCGGACCCUACAGAAAACUGCCGAGAGUCUGGAGAGGAAUUAAGCUAAACACUUUACAGACCCUAAGUCAGGCAUCAUCUUCAUCAUCGGGAAGCUUUGUAAUGAUGUCACAGAGUCAGGGGUCAUCUGAGAGCAAAAUAUCCCUGUAAGAUAGUCCUGAGGAACAUUGUACACAGGAAGCAAGAGUUGUACUCGGCCGAGUCUAAAGACUUACUGGAGACAGCCUGGGAGAGGAGGCCCCCACCCAGUAACUGGAAACCCAAGGGGCUACUGGUGACCCACCUCCAGGAACACAGGGCGACAGUCAACAGGAUUCAAGUUUCUCAAGACCAUGCAUUCUUUGCCCCGUGGCCUCCAAUGAUGGUACAGUCAAAUUAUGGGAGUCUGAAAAACUGGAGGGAAACAGUGUUGCUAACUGCUCUAAACAGACCCUCAAGAAUACUUCUGUACCUGGAGAGAAAGUGGAAGGUUUAGUUUUCUGUGAAGCUCCUGGAUCUGUUUUCUCUCUCUGGCCACAUUCACCGACAUGGGG